GAUGAAGAACGCAGUGAAAUGCGAUAAGUAAUGUGAAUUGCAGAAUUCAGUGAAUCAUCGAAUCUUUGAACGCACAUUGCGCCCGUCAGUAUUCUGGCGGGCAUGCCUGUUCGAGCGUCAUUACGCCCCUCAAGUCCCCUGUGGACUUGGUGUUGGGGAUCGGCGAGGCUGGUUUUCCAGCACAGCCGUCCCUUAAAUUAAUUGGCGGUCUCGCCGUGGCCCUCCUCUGCGCAGUAGUAAAACACUCGCAACAGGAGCCCGGCGCGGUCCACUGCCGUAAAACCCCCCAACUUUUUAUAGUUGACCUCGAAUCAGGUAGGACUACCCGCUGAACUUAAGAAUAUCAAUAAGCGGAGGA
rnacentral:misc_RNA from 1 species